GUUAAUUUAGUAACUUAAGGUUCAUGAGGGGUUUGUGUUAAGCGUGCACGAAACACUCUGCAUUAAAACAGAGACAAUAGUAAAUUACUCGCUUGAAGAGCGAAACGGUAUAGAUUAUUAUUUUGAAUACGCCGGCCGGACGGAGGGGAAAAAUGACAAAUCAGUUUUUGGGUGAACACGCGAGCGAGAGGACGUGAAAAAAAGAAGGCCGGGAAAGUGUGAAGCAAGCGACUGAAAAAACCGUGACCGCGUGUCCCGGGAGUCCCGAGUGAAUGACGUCCUGGUCAGCGAUCCUUAUCGGUGGUUUCGAUAAAAAUCAACGGACUUGGAUGUUGACCCGUUCACAGCAAAAAUUGGGAGUAAUCACCACGCCAACAUCCAGAGUUCCCGUGUCAAGCGUUCCCCGAGUGGUUCCGGCGUCGCUGUGUGAUCGCACUGCAGCGGUGUAGCAAGCAGUUUUCGCAGGGCCGUUGUGAAUCGGGUUCCUGUGCGGAGGCGGUAAAAUCCGAAGUGGUGAAGAAUCAGUGAGGGGUCAGCGUUUCCCCUGGAAGUGCAAUCGUCGCAUUAUCGUGGAUAGCACGAGGGUAUCCGGAGAGCCGAUUCCGAGGUUUGGCGCUGGAGUCGACAGGCAGAACCAGAAGAAGAAACAGGACGGAAACGACUCCCACUUCGCACGAGGAUCACCCGGGAAAGCUACCUGAGGAAUUUCGCUGCUGCGGCAAAUCUGAACUUCAUGGGAAACAGAACGGACGGCGAGACCGCCGAGAAAGACGUGAUUUUUGGCAACGUGACGACAACCCAAAUGAAACAACAUCAAACGAUUGAUGUAAAAAACGACGAAUAUCAUCCGAUUCCCGGAUUCGAAUCCGACGAAAAAAAUAACAAUAUAACGCAAGAAAAACUCCACCGGACAGAGCCUUGAAUCAACUGCUGCUACCAAGCAAUGCUUCUCGGUGUCUGCGUUGCAAAUCAAUAUUUCACCAGGCAUAUCAUCAUUUGAUUUGAUGCGAAAAUAAUAUAGAAUGCAAUGAAAC